GCGUAAGCUAGUAAGAUCCCUGAAAGAUGAUCAGGUUGAUAGGUUCGAGGUGGAAGCAUGGUGACAUGUGGAGCUGACGAAUACUAAUAGAUCGAGGACUUAACCAU
rnacentral:rRNA from 1 species